AGGUAACGUCAAGGAGAUUAGUUAUUAACCAACCCCUUUUCUUCCCAAUUGAAAGUGCUUUACAACCCGCAGGCCUUCUUCACACACGCGGUAUUGUUGGAUCAGGGUUGCCCCCAUUGUCCAAUAUUCCCCA
rnacentral:rRNA from 1 species